rnacentral:rRNA from 1 species
UGCCAGCCGCCGCGGUAAUACGGAGGGUGCGAGCGUUGUUCGGAAUCACUGGGCGUAAAGCGCACGUAGGCGGACUUUUAAGUCAGGGGUGAAAUCCCGGAGCUCAACUCCGGAACUGCCUUCAAUACUGUCAGUCUUGAGUCCGAGAGAGGUGAGUGGAAUUCCUAGUGUAGAGGUGAAAUUCGUAGAUAUUAGGAAGAACACCAGUGGCGAAGGCGGCUCACUGGCUCGGUACUGACGCUGAGGUGCGAAAGCGUGGGGAGCAAACAGGAUUAGAUA